rnacentral:lncRNA from 1 species
UCUGACAUCUGGACAUAAGUCCUCAGAGGAAAGGAAGCUUGAUUUGUCUCAACCUGCCCCAACUUUCUGUUUGCGUCCAGAGUUCAACUUGUCUUUAUUUACACACAAUCAAAGAUAGGCCUGUUACUGCGUUGGCCAUAUUUUGCAGUUGCCAUUGGGCAUGUGAAGUCUGCAGGAGACUGAGGAGCAGCUAUAAAUUCAGAAGGAGCCUCUCUCCCUCAGAAAUCACUUUCCUGAACCAGAUGCCACCAGGUUCUGUUUCUCUGUGGAAGAGUUGUGUUCAUCGAUGCCAUGUGAGAACAGAAAUAUUGCAGAAGAACAUGUCAAAACGAGAUACCUUGCAAAGAGACAGACAUUUCCACUUCUUUGAAAACACAGACCUCACUUCAGCAGACAAAGUUUGGCCAGGUGCAUGCCAGUCUCUUCCUCCUCCUCCUCUCUCACCCAAUGUGUCUGGUUCUCAGCCUUGCAACUCCCAAAAGCAAGAAUGGUUUGUCAGGAAUAAAUCAUGCAAGACUGACUUUAUCUUCUUCUUCUUUUACCAAGUUAGUAGCUGAAACGCACUGGGCACAGCACAUCUCGAUUUUAGCAAAGCAUAUGAUGAGCUUUUCCAUUAAAUCCCAAUUGAAUAGAUGGGGGAAAAGUGGACUGAAUGAUAAUAUAGUUAGGCAGGUCCACAGCUGACUGAGUAACUGAACUCAGUGGCUCAAGCAUCCUUCAGUCAAGGGAUUUUUACACAGUUUUUUACCUCCAGCCCUCUCUCUGAGGCCCUGUGUUGUACCACAUGUUUAUAAAUGGCGUGGAUGUGAGUGCAGAAGGGGCUCCUUUUCAUAUCUUCAUAUUCCACUGAGUUGGGAGGGAGAGACAAGACCAUAGAAGACAGGAUCAAGAUUAACAGGCUGGAUUCCAGGGCUGUAAUUAAGAAACUGAGAUACAACAGAGAUACA